UGGUUAACAUUUUCUUUCUUUUUUUUUUUAGACAGAGGCUCACUAGUGGCACGAUCUUGGCUGAUUGCAUCUUCCACCUCCUGGGUUCAAGAGAUUCUUGUGCCUUAGCUUCCUGAGUAGCUAAGAUUACAGGCGUGAGCUACUGUGGCCGGCCACAUUUCCCUUCUGGUGCGCGUCCUCCUGUAGCUGUGGGAUCAGGGGAGGUAGAGAUGUCUUGUAACUGACUCAAGUUUGGCUGCUUGCCGCAG
rnacentral:lncRNA from 10 species